UACGGGGGGGGUAAGCGUUGUUCGGAAUUACUGGGCGUAAAGCGAGUGUAGGUGGUUGUCCAAGUUGGAUGUGAAAGCCUUGAGCUCAACUCAAGAAAUGCAUUCAGGACUGGGCGGCUAGAGGACCGGAGAGGAUAGUGGAAUUCCCAGUGUAGUGGUGAAAUACGUAGAUAUCGGGAGGAAUACCGAUGGCGAAGGCAGGUCUCUGGGCUAUAACUGACGCUCAUGCGCGAAAGCGUGGGGAGCAAACAGG
rnacentral:rRNA from 1 species